UACGUAGGGGCAAGCGUUGUCCGGAUUUAUUGGGCGUAAAGAGCGUGUAGGCGGCCAAGCAGGUCUGCUGUGAAAACUCGAGGCUCAACCUCGAGACGUCGGUGGAAACCGUUUGGCUAGAGUCCGGAAGAGGAGGAGUGGAAAUUCCGGUGUAGCGGUGAAAUGCGCAGAUAUCGGGAAGAACACCCGUGGCGAAGGCGGCUACUC
rnacentral:rRNA from 1 species